rnacentral:siRNA from 1 species
GCCGGAGCCCGUAAUCCCCAG